UAGUUUAGAGUGGGGUGCUGAAUGGCUGAAAGCAGUGUUGCCCUCCCACCCGUUGCCAAAUGCUUGCUUUCCCAUAGUGCACCUGUUGCAUCCGGGUCUGUGUGCAAAGGCUAUAAAAGUACUGGCAGCUGGGGAUGAGUUCGCAGCCUUUCAGCUCAAGAAGUUGGGACUUUUCUUGCUGUGCCGCCUGUUGGCCAGAGCCUCGUCAGCACAGGAAAAGAGUCCUGCAGAAAGUGUCACCUAUCUUCUUCCAUUUCUUGAGUCUGCCUUCCUUGAAGAAAAGUCCAAGCACACUGUCAGCUUUGUAGCAUUGCACAGGACCCACAGCUGCAAUGUCUAAAAGGGGAGUGUAUGUAUGUGUAGAUGCAGUGAGCCAACCCACUUGUUUGGGUAAGUAGCUUGCAAGUCAAGGAGAGUCAACAACAGCAUGACUUCAGGAGUGUUUUACUUGGUAACAAGUUUAAAACCAGAUUUCAACAGCUAUGCUAGGAUUCACCAGUGCUAUGGCUCCAGACACAUUUUAUACCAAACACUCCAAAUUAAUUGAAGGCAUUGUUGUAGAACCCCCAAGUCAAGCCACUCAUGUGAUAUGCAGAAAGCCAAUCCCUGAGAUCUGGGAAGCCUGAGCAAGGAGCCUGGCAGCUACUGCUUAGCUGCUGGGUUCCCUGAGCAGUCAGGGCUGAGAGGUGUGAGAUCAGCUCAUGUCCAAGCUCCUGGUUGGGCAGAGGAGUUCAUGAGUUUCUUUUGAUUGGUCAGUGAUGCAGUACUUUUUGAGGGAAUUUGUGAUGGCCAGGUCAGGUGGGUUGCAGUUGAUCCAGAGGUUAUCUGUAAUUCCUCUAAACCAAACUGGCCAUCAAAGUUGUAUCUUUUGUGGAGGACUCCUUGAGUUACGUGAUUAAGCCAGUUGGCCCUACAAAGUUCUACUCUUUCAAGUAAGUGAAUUCCUUUUUGAUAAAGGACAGGGAGGGGCACCUUGUCCUAAGGGAGACAGCCAAGAGGCUGGGUCCUGCUUUUUGUAGGGGCUUGGUUUUAAUGUUACUCCAAGAUUGAACCCUGUUUAUGUCCAGAGAAAAAAAAUUAUCUUUUAAU